CAGAACACAAUCACAUGCCUUAUCCGUUUCUCUCCUUGGCGCCAUUUCUAUUCUCUGAAAACAAAAAAGCGCCUACACGGAGACGGAGCAGUAACCAUGCUUCUCGCUGCACCCGAUUGCUUCUCUUCUUCUGCUGCUUCUUCUACGCUCUCAUCUUCACUCUCUCACAAUCGCAAAUUCUCCUUCCUCUUCUCUAAGGCUUCAGUUUCAAUUAACUCGCCUAUUCGAACUCGAUCGAUUCGACUCUGUACAGCGAGUUUGAUUACUAACCCCGACUCCUUCGAAGUUGGGAAACUCAUUGGCAGCUAUGGAUUCAUGAACGUUACGAGCUAUUCAGGGUUUCAAUCGGGGAUGGAUAUGGAAUUUUCAUCUCCUGGCAAUAUGGGGCAACUGAAAGUUCAAGAUGUAGGUGAAGGCGGUGUAAAGAUCAGGCUUUAUGAAGGGAGAAUAGCUCUGGGCUCGCUUAAAGGAACUCCAGUUAUGUUUAAGGUUUAUCCUGGGCAACGAGCCGGUGGUGUUGAAGCUGAUAUGAUGGCAGCAAAUGAGCUUAAUGCUCAUGCUGUACUUCAGAGUAGUUCAAAAGGUAUCUGUCAGAAUGUCGUGAUACUUGUGGGAGGAUUUGAGACCAAAACUGGGGAACAGUGGCUUGCUUUUCGUAAUGAUGGGAAAUAUAGUGCAGCAGACUAUGCAAAAAUUAUGAGUGAAAGAAUAUCAAAAAGCCGUUCCAUGGGAGAAAACUCUUGGAAUCGUUUUGAGCUAGGGCAAACAAUAAAGCUAAGAAGAUACUUUGUUAUCAAGCUUCUUAGGGGUGCUAUUAGUGGCCUAGCAUACAUGCAUGACCAUGACAGAUUGCACCAGAGUCUUGGACCAUCUUCAAUUGUUCUUAAUACUAUAGUAGAGAAAGAUGCUGCUUACUUAGUUCCACGACUUCGGGAUCUAGCCUUUUCUGUUGAUAUUCGGAUGUCAUGUCUAGAAGAGGGCCUUGGAACAUUAUCGGAAGGACUUUGGAGAAGGGCAAUUGCAGCUGGUGCCUUCACACCUAUGGAGAAAAGAGCCUUUGGAAUUGCGGAUGACAUAUAUGAAGCAGGUCUCCUUUUUGCAUACUUGGCUUUUGUUCCGUUUUGUGAAGCUGGCAUAAUAGAUAGUCUCUCUUUGCAAAGGCUUUUGGAAAAUACAUUCCAACUUGAUCUUGAAGCUGUAAGAGAGUAAGAUGAUUUUUAUACCUCAUGACUUGAGUAAAUUUCUUGGUUGGUGCAUGCAUAAGAUGAAUUUAAGAUUGCAGGAGUCUAUAUGCCUCAUUAGACAAACUAGUCAAGUAUUGUUUAGCAGAUGAUAAGUUGGAGGAAGCUGUCAAAUUUCUGGAUCUUGGUGAUAGGGCCGGUUGGCAAUUACUUCAGGCAAUGCUAGAUUCUGAUUUCCGAAAACGACCAAUUGCAGAAGCUGUGCUGAACCACCGGUUCCUGACUGGCGCUGUACUUGAGUAGCAAAGGCUGGAGAGAUCAUAUCCUCCAACGUAAUGAGCGUAAUAAAAAUUUAAGAGCAGAGUGUGGCUCAUUAAAUGAAUAAAUAUAGAGGAACUCAACUUCUGUUUUAUUUUUUCUUUUGUAAAAUCAUGUUCUUUCUUACACUUCGAUUUAGUAAAACAUAUAUCAAUCUUUCUGUUCUAUAAUCCAUCUAUGUCAUGAGAAAUACUGAUACAAUGAAUUGGUUGUUGAUGUUGAA